UAGCAUUGUGCCUGGCAUAUAGCAGGUGUUCAAAAAAAUGUUUGAUGGCUUGAAGUGUGUGUCUGUCUCAAUAACACAGAAACUAUGCCUCUAAACUCACCACCAGGAAAAUCCUGAGAAGGAGACAGUGAUGUGUCCAACGUGUAACCAUCUAGGGUAUAUCCACCUUGUCUCAGCAUCAGAUCCUUGGUGCAACUGAAGCCAGAAGAGAAGAGAGACGACACAGAGGUGCAUAGGAAGACUAUCUUACAAGGCUAUUCCUUGAUUAGGAUACAUUUUUACUGGAAAAUGCAGCUCAAUUUAGAGAAAUCAUGAAGGGGCUUUUAAAUCCAUCUCGAAUUUAGCUUCAUAACUUCUGUGCUUUCCUGCAUUCCCUGUG
rnacentral:lncRNA from 1 species